GGGCUGAAGCAAUCUGCCUGCCUCAGCCUCCCAAAGUGCUGGGAUUAUAGGCAUGAGCCACCAUGCCCAACCUACUUUAAUCACGUGUAUAAAAAUGAAUCACCUAUAAUCCCACCAAAUAGAAGUAUUAGGCAUCCAGACUUGUGAUCGAUUAAUGUAUAUAUAUCUUCCUACAAAGAUAGAUUAUACCAUUCAUACCUAUUUGCAACCUCAAGUAUUAUCUUACCUCCCCCUUUCUAAGGGCUCACAUUCUUAAAUAAUCACUUGGGUUACAUGAAGUGGAAGCUGUUUUCUCUGCUAUAGCUUAAAGUUUCAAAAGCAAAACAGUAAGUGGGUCAACUUGGAUCAAGUGCCAAUGAGGUGACACAGUCACAGGGCUUAGUGUAGCCAGAGGAUUUGAGCCUUGGGGGUAACCAUGUUAGUCACCAAUACCUUAACUCCUGCCUGAGGCUAUUGUCCAGUAGAGUGGCUGAGGCCCUUGCAGUGAUAUGCUGCUUACAUUGUGCCCAAACCUGCCUUGCUGUAAUUUCUAUCCAAUAGUCCUGGGAUUGUGUGCUGGAGACCUAGAGAGGGUAGUUAAUCCAUCCUCUAGAAUUUGAAGUCAGCUGUUGUGUGCCUGCCCCUAUACUUCCAAGUCUUCUGCAGCUGACUCUUCUAAGAUCCUUCAGACCCAAAUUUCAUAGAUGGGAAACCAUCCUGGUUGCAGAUAUGCUCAGAUUUCCUCAUUAUCAGGUCUCUGAAUCGUGAUAAUGAUCCUAUCAUCCAACACAUUUGCUCCCCUUUCUGUGUUGUCAUUUGCACAUUUGAUAAAGAUGGUAUCCAUGUAUGAUAGAUUCAGCAACUUCUUCAUUUGCGAACUAGUGCAGCUCAAAGGAAAGCAUGAAGGUUGUCAGGUGACCUGGGGUUGAACGAUAACUCGUAGUCAGUUGCAUCUGGUAGUUGUCCUUUUCAUUAAAGACUUGGUAUGCUCCCUGUAAGUGUUAAACUGAGUUGGAGCAGAUGAGAAGUGCAUGGUAGGAGGUGAAAGACAUGUAAUUACUAAGUGAAUACUCAUACAGAAACGAGAUGGGAAAAAUGGCAGUUGUUCAUCCGCAGUAGUUUUGCCCCGUGUUUCUCAAUUAUUUAAUGUUGGGGUACUCUUCUAGUCACUGGGUUUACUUGUCUUUUCAAUCAGGGUUAGAUUUUUUUCUAAGUAAGCAAAGAUUGAGAUUUAGGUCCCUGAAUUCAUCUAUUAUCUACAAAACUGGCAGUACUAGGGCUUUGUUAUAGCAGUUGCAUUCAUAGGGGAAGUAAAAGUCUGAAGUUAAAUGAUUGUCUUCCUUUAUGCAUCUACAUCCUUUGAAAAUCACUUGUCAAUGGCUUUACACCUUUAUUCUGUGUACACAGGCAGAUAUGACCUUAAUGACUAAGAACAGAAAAGGAUGAAAUGUCAGAAAGAAAAACCAUACUGAAAGUGAAAAGAGGAAAAGCAGCCAAAUAAAAUUUCAUGCCUAAUUCAUCUUUACCAAGGAUAAAAAUGUCUCGUUUAGUAUCAUGGCUUAAAAUUCCCACGAAACUAUGUAAACAACACUCAGUUCUCUGCAGCAAUGUUUUGGUGCAGAAAGCUUAGGGAUUUCCAGAGAAAUAAAACCAAGAGCACGUUCAUCCAUCUAUCUAUUGAGAGAGAUUUAUUUUAAGAAACCGAUUCAUGUGAUUAUGGAGGCGGGCAAGUCCUGAAUCUGCAUGAUGGGCUGGCAGCCUGGAGUCUCAGGAAGGCUAACUUGAUGCUUUUGCUUUUACACCUCUGAAUUGAUCACAUUGCCUUUGAGGAAAGAUCAAGCUAUGAAAAGGCUUGCUGUGAAGGGGAGGAUCACCUCAGACUGUCUACCCUAGGUAUCCAUGCCUUGAUGGUGCCAUCACUACAACAUGAGAGAGGAUGGCAGAGGACAGUGUUCAAGUACUUGGGUUCUGGACUCAGACUGAAGUGGGUUUGAAUCCUUGCUUUUCCAUUUAUCAGCUGUGUUAUCACUGGACACAUUACUCAGUUACUCUGUGUCUUGUCUGCAAAAAAUUGAGGCUGAAAUGUCUACUCUAUAAAGGGUUGUUGGGGGAGUCAGUGUGACAAGCAGACCAUGGAGGAAACACAAUCUAACAUUCUCAUGGGUUUUCCACUGAGACUCAGACAGCUUUGUAGAGAAAGAAUUUUUUUAAAAAGUGCAGUACAGGAAAGGGGACUGUACCCAAGAGAUGAAGAAGGGCCGUUUGGAGUAGCCACGCAAAUUCAGCAAUGAUCUCAUAGGUUGUCAGGGGCUAGUGUCUUAUCUAAUAGAGGUUUAUUGAUUUAUAUGUUCAUUCAACAAAUACCUGAGCGCUACUACACUCACAACUUCCUGCAUGAUCUAGUUACCCUGGGAAGUACAGAGUCUUAAAUUUGGACAUGUUUCAGAGUGAAAGCAAUGCUAUUAAGAAUUACUGAGGGACAACAGGCGAAAUCAGGACAUAUGGUCACUACGCUGGGGAAAAUGUCUGGGAUUAGGAGAAAUAGUAAACAGUCACUUUUUAAAGCGUUUACUUUGUGCCCCGACUCACUUCCCCCUUAUUCCAGAGUAACAGUCUAUGAUGAAAGAGGAAGAGUAUUAUAUUGGGUCAAGAAUCAGGACCAACCACAGUUUGGAGAAAGCAUUGUACGGAAGUAAGUGUUUUUAUUGACCCAAAUUACCAUGGUGGGUUAAUUUUGUCAGAUACAUGUGCUUGAAAGUGAAAA